ACACACACACAGAAGAGAUGUAGUCCAGAGCUUCGAGCAAGAAGAGCAGCAUCCAGAGCACUCUCAGUUAGCUUAGUAGUAGUACCAACACCACUUGUAAAAUAGCCACUAUAUCGAAGAUGUUGUAAUCGCCAAGAAUAAUAAGCGGUUGCACCCGAAGGGAAUACUUCUCUACGACCACAACAUUCUCAUUCAAACACCACAAAAGGCUAAACAGAGAACUACUGAUGGAGGUUUCUGAUGACCCACAAGUGUAGGGGAUCUAUCGUAGCCUUUUCGAUAAGUAAGAGUGUCGAACCCAACGAGGAGCAGAAGGAAAUGACAAGCGGUUUUCAGUAAGAAAUGAAGAGAGAAAUAUUCAGCGGUGGAAGUGAAUCUUUUAUAUAUGGAGAUGAUAAUAAAUUAAAAAUACUUCCACCAAAUACAUGCUACUUCAAACCAAAGAGCCAUAUCGUAUUGAUGAGAUCCAAGGAUGCUUAUUGGAUAAUAUUUGGUAUCAAUACACAAUGAAGAGAGAAGACAAA